rnacentral:rRNA from 1 species
CUAAGAAUAUUCCGCAAUGGACGAAAGUCUGACGGAGCGACGCCGCGUGGAUGAUGAAGGCCGAAAGGUUGUAAAGUCCUUUUGCCGGGAAGAAUAAGCGUGGGAGGGAAUGCAGGC